GAUGAACGCUAGCUACAGGCUUAACACAUGCAAGUCGAGGGGAAACGACAUCGAAAGCUUGCUUUUGGUGGGCGUCGACCGGCGCACGGGUGAGUAACGCGUAUCCAACCUGCCCACCACUUGGGGAUAACCUUGCGAAAGUAAGACUAAUACCCGAUGAUAUCUCUAGACGACAUCUGAAAGGGAUUAAAGAUUUAUCGGUGAUGGAUGGGGAUGCGUCUGAUUAGCUUGUUGGCGGGGUAACGGCCCACCAAGGCAACGAUCAGUAGGGGUUCUGAGAGGAAGGUCCCCCCACAUUGGAACUGAAACACGGUCCAAACUCCUACGGGAGGCAGCAGUGAGGAAUAUUGGUCAAUGGGCGAGAGCCUGAACCAGCCAAGUAGCGUGCAGGAUGACGGCCCUAUGGGUUGUAAACUGCUUUUAUAAGGGAAUAAAGUGGGUCACGUGUGACUUUUUGCAUGUACCUUAUGAAUAAGGACCGGCUAAUUCCGUG
rnacentral:rRNA from 1 species